rnacentral:rRNA from 1 species
GACGAACGCUGGCGGCGUGCUUAACACAUGCAAGUCGAACGGAAAGGCCCUGCUUUUGUGGGGUGCUCUAGUGGCGAACGGGUGAGUAACACGUGAGUAACCUGCCCUUUACUUUGGGAUAACUUCAGGAAACUGGGUCUAAUACCUGAUAUGAGCUCCUGCUUCAUGGUGGGGUUUGGAAUGUUUCGUCGGUUGGGGAUGGUCUCGCGGCUUAUCAGCUUGUUUGUGGGGUAGUGGCUUACCAAGGCUUUGACGGGUAGCCUGCCUGUGAGGGUGACAGGGCACAGAGGGAAUGAGAGAGGGACCAGAGUGGAACGGGAGGAAGGAGUGGGGAAUAGAGCACAAAGGGCGGAAGGGAGAUGAAGAAACGCCGCGUGAGGGAAGACGGCCUAGGGGUUGUAAAACGAAGUGGACGGAGACGAAGCGGGAGUGACGGUAAUGGGAAAAGAAGCGCCGGCUAACUACGUG